UAAAGUGAAACUGGUUUUAAAACAGGAAGUCUUUCAACGUUUUCUCUCUUCAAACGGCAGAAUAUUUCUUCAGAUAUUGUCAAACUUUAGUGAUCACAGCUGAUACUCACUCACAGGAUUAAAGAGAGGAAGAGCAAUGGCAGAAUCUUCAUCAACAUCACCAAAACAAAAACCAACCAGGAGAAACAGUUCAGAAGAUUUACGUCCAAUGAUGUCGUCCUCCAGUAGUGCACUAAAUGAGGAGCUUCAGUGUUCAAUCUGUCUGGAUGUGUUCACUGAUCCAGUCACAACUCCAUGUGGACACAACUUCUGCAAGACCUGCCUGAAUGAAUGCUGGAAAAACACUCAGA